rnacentral:sRNA from 1 species
UUUUGUCAACAUGUUCACGUGCAACUCCAGGGACCUGCUGGGCUGCUUGGCACAGGAGCACAACAUCAGCACGAGCCAGGUCAACGCGUGUCACGUGGCGGAGUCGGCCGUCAACUACAGCCUGGGCGAUGAGCAGGGCUUCUGUGGCAGCCCCUGGCCCAACUGCAACUUCCCCGAGUACUUCACCUACAGCGUGCUGCUCAGCCUGCUGGCCUGCUCCGUGUUCCUGCAGAUCAGCUGCAUCGGGAAGCUGGUGCUCAUGCUGGCCAUCGAGCUCAUCUACGUGCUCAUCGUGGAGGUGCCAGGUGUCACGCUCUUCGACAACGCCGACCUGCUGGUCACCGCCAACGCCAUAGACUUCUUCAACAACGGGACCUCCCAGUGGUGAGUUGAUGCUCCUCGGAUAGGGUCGCUCCCUGCCCUCAGCACAGAGCAGACAGGGAAGGCAGCUGGUGCCCAGGUGGGAGGGGCCUUGGUGGC